rnacentral:lncRNA from 1 species
GUGGCAGCAGAUCCAACAGCUGAAUGUGGUGCCUUCAGUCUGAGCUUUCACAUUUCCCAGAUUCUGCAGUGCAUCACACAGUCACACAGAUUAUUCUCCAGAUUCUGCAGUGCAUCACACAGUCACACAGAUUAUUUCCCAGAUGUAAUGGAUCACACAGUCACACAGAUUAUUUCCCAGAUGAAAUGGAUCACACAGUCACACAGGUUAUUUCCCAGAUUCUGCAGUACAUCACACAGUCACACAGAUUAUUCUCCAGAUGCUGCAGUGCAUCACACAGUCACACAGGUUAUUUCCCAGAUUCUGUAAUGGAUCACACAGUCACACAGAUUAUUUCCCAGAUGCUGCAGUGCAUUACACAGUCACACAGAUUAUUUCCCAGAUUCUGUAAUGGAUCACACAGUCACACAGAUUAUUUCCCAGAUUCUGUAGGGCAUCACACAAUCACACAGAUUAUUUCCCAGAUGUAAUGGAUUACACAGUCACACAGGUUAUUUCCCAGAUGUAAUGGAUUACAGUCACACAGAUUAUUUCCCAGAUGCUGCAGUGCAUUACACAGUCACACACUGCAGUAAAACACUGCAUUACUGUGGAACUCUGAACUCCACACAAAGUGGCACCAAGCUCCCCUGGCAGCUCAGGCACACGGGACAAUCCUUUUCCAGCCCCAGAACCAAGGGCACCAGGGCAUUUCUCACUCCUCUGGGCUGUCUGCAGCAGAAUUUACAAUAAAGGUGCAAAGGUUUAACACACUGCAUUCUCCUGGGCCACUGGUGCCUUGGUUAAAUUCAUCUUGUCCCUAAAGCAAAAUAAUCUCCCAACUUAGAUAAGCAAUUUAACACCAAGGAUAUACUUGUUAAAGUACAUGUACACAUAUAGUGUGUACUAUAUAUAUAUAUAUUACCAAAAUGUUAUUAGGAAAACUUAAAGAUGACAUUACUGACACUGAAUAAAAAUUAAUAAAAAUGGAAUAAAACACGAAAUCUUAAAAUGAGUAAGAAUUAGACCUGACCCUGAAUAAACUUAAGAACAAUCAACGUUAACAGAGAUCAAUCCUAACAGAAAAAUGCUCUUAAUUAACUCAAUGGAAUAAUAAAACAUAAGAUUAGAAUGAAAAUAACAACAGGAUAGAUUAACUGGAGAAACUAAAAAGGGUAUAAAAAGCUUAUUAUGGUUUUAGGAGGUCCAGUUUUGCUUGGGGCUGCAGCUUCAGCCCCAAAAAGUGCAAACAGCAGAGAAUUGGGGGGAGCAACCUGGGUGGAUGUGACCUCAUAACCUGGAGCUGUAAUUGUAAUUAACCCCAGUAUGGAAAUGGACCAAAACCUAUAAAAGUGUGAGAACUCGUGACUCUGAGUCCAUCUUGGGUGGAGCCACAGCCAGGCUCUUGUGCUGCCCAAGGUGAAUCCUGUGAAGGCCUUUUAAUCAAUCCCUGCUUUUUUGCUU